rnacentral:rRNA from 1 species
UCGAGAAUUUUUCACAAUGGGCGAAAGCCUGAUGGAGCGACGCCGCGUGGGGGAUGAAUGGCUUCGGCCCGUAAACCCCUGUCAUUCGCGAGCAAACGUUAUUAUUUAAAAGAUGAUAGCCUGAUAGUAGCGAAAGAGGAAGGGACGGCUAACUCUGUGCCAGCAGCCGCGGUAAUACAGAGGUCCCAAGCGUUGCUCGGAUUUACUGGGCGUAAAGGGUGCGUAGGUGGUGGGGUAAGUCGGAUGUGAAAUCUACGAGCUCAACUCGGAAAGUGCAUUGGAAACUACCCUGCUAGAGGGUUGGAGGGGGGACUGGAAUACUUGGUGUAGCAGUGAAAUGCGUAGAUAUCAAGUGGAACACCAGUGGCGAAGGCGAGUCCCUGGACAACUCCUGACACUGAGGCACGAAAGCUAGGGGAGCAAACAG